UACGGGGGGGGUAAGCGUUGUUCGGAAUUACUGGGCGUAAAGCGUGCGCAGGCGGUUUGCUAAGACAGGUGUGAAAUCCCCGGGCUUAACCUGGGAACUGCGCCUGUAACUGGCAAGCUAGAGUGUGGCAGAGGGGGGUGGAAUUCCACGUGUAGCAGUGAAAUGCGUAGAGAUGUGGAGGAACACCGAUGGCGAAGGCAGCCCCCUGGGCUAACACUGACGCUCAUGCACGAAAGCGUGGGGAGCAAACAGG
rnacentral:rRNA from 1 species